CACGUAGGGGACGAGCGUUGUCCGGAUUCAUUGGGCGUAAAGCGCGCGUAGGCGGCUCGGAAAGUCGGUCGUGAAAUGCCGGGGCUCAACCCCGGGACUGCGUCCGAUACUUCCGGGCUGGAGGUAGGUAGGGGAGAUCGGAAUUCCUGGUGUAGCGGUGAAAUGCGCAGAUAUCAGGAGGAACACCGGUGGCGAAGGCGGAUCUCUGGGCCUUACCUGACGCUGAGGAGCGAAAGCAUGGGGAGCGAACAGG
rnacentral:rRNA from 1 species